rnacentral:rRNA from 1 species
ACGCUUCAUACAUGCAAGUCGAGGGGCAGCAUAAAGUACUUGUACUUUGAUGGCGACCGGCGAACGGGUGCGUAACGCGUAUGCAACUUACCUUUUACUAGAGAAUAGCCAAGAGAAAUUUUGAUUAAUGCUCUAUACUCUUAUUAACUCACAUGAGUUUUUAAGAAAAGCUCCGGCGGUAAAAGAUGGGCAUGCGUCCUAUUAGCUUGUAGGUGAGGUAACGGCUCACCUAAGCUCCGAUAGGUAGGGGUCCUGAGAGGGAGAUCCCCCACACUGGUACUGAGACACGGACCAGACUUCUACGGAAGGCAGCAGUAAGGAAUAUUGGACAAUGGAGGCAACUCUGAUCCAGCGAUGCCGCGUGAAGGAAGACGGCCCUAUGGGUUGUAAACUUCUUUUAUACAGGAAGAAACCUUUCCACGUGUGGAAAGCUGACGGUACUGUAAGAAUAAGGAUCGGCUAACUCCGUGCCAGCAGCCGCGGUAAUACGGAGGAUCCAAGCGUUAUCCGGAAUUAUUGGGUUUAAAGGGUCCGCAGGCUGUUUGUUAAGUCAGGGGUGAAAUCCUACCGCUCAACGGUAGAACUGCCUUUGAUACUGGCAAACUUGAGUUAUUGUGAAGUAGUUAGAAUGUGUAGUGUAGCGGUGAAAUGCAUAGAUAUUACACAGAAUACCGAUUGCGAAAGCAGAUUACUAACAAUAUACUGACGCUGAGGGACGAAAGCGUGGGUAGCGAACAGGAUUAGAUACCCUGGUAGUCCACGCCGUAAACGAUGGUCACUAGCUGUUUGAUGUACAUUGGUACAUUGAGUGGCUAAGCGAAAGUGAUAAGUGACCC